rnacentral:rRNA from 1 species
UUGGAGGGCAAGUCUGGUGCCAGCAGCCGCGGUAAUUCCAGCUCCAAUAGCGUAUAUUAAAGUUGUUGCAGUUAAAAAGCUCGUAGUUGAAUUUCGGGAUCAAAUUGUUGGUCGUGCCUCGGUACGCACUGGUAUUAUUGGUUCCUACCUUCUGAAGAACCGCGAUGUCAUUAAUUUGGUGUCGUGGGGAAUCAGGACUGUUACUUUGAAAAAAUUAGAGUGUUUAGAGCAGGCUUACGCUUGAAUACAUUAGCAUGGAAUAAUGAAAUAGGACGUUUGAUUCUAUUUUGUUGGUUUCUAGGAUUGACGUAAUGAUUAAUAGGGAUAAUUGGGGGCAUUAGUAUUCAAUUGUCAGAGGUGAAAUUCUUGGAUUUAUUGAAGACUAACUACUGCGAAAGCAUUUGCCAAGGAUGUUUUCAUUAAUCAAGAACGAAAGUUAGGGGAUCGAAGACGAUCAGAUACCGUCGUAGUCUUAACCAUAAACUAUGCCGACUAGGGAUCGGAUGAUGUUAAUUUUUUAAUGACUCAUUCGGCGCCUUACGGGAAAC